GCCGCAGCGCCGGGCGGGGGGAGGGGCGAAGGAGGCUGCGGGCGGGCAGGGGGCGGGGCGGGCGUUGCCACGGCAACGGCGCGGGGGCGGUGGGCGCGGCGGGCCGGCCGGCCGGGCCCAGGUAGGCUGGCGGCGGCGGAGGGCGGGCCGGCCACGGGAGGCUGGGCCUGGAGGGGGCGCUCGCCCGCGGCCCCAGUGGCCGUGGUGCCCUCGUCCCUCCGCGGUCGCAGGGACCUGGGAGCCGCCGAGACCCGGAGAAGGCGGCGAGCCGUGGCUCCCGCGCGGGGGGCGCGCUCUGCCAUGUUGGCGGCUCCCUCAGGAGAAAGCGCGGCGCCGGGCGGGCGGGCGUCGGGGAGCGUGUGCGACUUGCGCCUGAAGGAACAGUCCCUGCCCUUUGAUUGCGUUGGCAGAGUCAGAGAGACAGAGAGAAAGGUCUUCCUUUUUCCGUUGGUUCACCCCCCAAAUGGCUGCUACGGCGCUGCGCCAAUCCAAAGCCAGGAGCCAGAUGCCUCCUCCUGGUCUCCCAUGCAGGUGCAGGGCCCAAGCACUUGGGCCAUCCUCCGCUGCCUUCCGGGGCCACAGCAGAGAGCUGGACUGGAAGAGGAGCAACCAGAACAGAAUCCGGCGCCCCAACCGGGACUAGAACCUGGGGUGCCGCCGCCGCAGACAGAGGAUUAGCCUAGUGAGCCCUGGUGCCGGCCUGUGAAUUAUCUUUUCACUUUCUUUUUAUUUAUUUUUGGUUGAAAGGGAGAGAGACAAAGAAAGAGAUCUUGCACCUGCUAAGUGCACUCCCCAAAUGUCUGUAAUACCCAGGGCUGUGCCAGGGGGAAGCCAGGAGCCAAGAGCUCAUUGCAGGUCUCCCACGUAGGUGGGCAAGGACCUGGCUACUUGAGCUGUCACCGCUGCCUCCCAGCAGAAGAGCUGGGACUGAAAUACCAGCUGCUGGUUCCCAGAAGCAAUUUAACCACGUGCUGAAUGCCUGCCUCCUUCUCACCUUCUUGUUAGUGUCACUCACUGAACAAAACAUUUUCAUUUGACUUAGUCCAAUUUACCUGGUUUUUUUUGUCACAUGCUUUUGGUGUAAUAUGUUUACAAGACAUAAUCAUAUUUUAAAGAUUUUAUUUGUUUAAGAAGCAAAGUUAGAGAGAGAGAGGGAGAGACAGAAAGGUCUUCCAUCUGCUGGUUCAUUCCCCAAAUGGCAACAAGGCUGGAGCUGAGCUGAUUCGAAGCCAGGAGCCAAGAGCUUCUUCCAGGUCUCCCACGUGGGUGCAGGGGCCCAAGGACUUGGGCCAUCUUCUACUGCUUUCCCAGGCCAUAGCAGAGAGCUGGAUCGGAAGUGGAGCAGUGAGGACUAGAACCAGCACCCAUAUGAGGUGGAUGAGAAACCUCUCUCUCUUGGUCUCUGCAACUAUGCCUUUCAAAUAAAUAAAUCUUUAAAAAAAUU